GGGGGUCGAUAUCCGCUGGUGCGGAUACUGGUCUGUAAAACCGGAGCCCAUGGCAGAGAGGUUCGAUUCCUCCGGCCCCCA
rnacentral:tRNA from 1 species